GUAACAGUUAAGAGGAAAAGAUAUAUUGUCAUUGUUACUUGAUUAGUUCUCCUGAGUCACUGUAACGAUAUGUCAAUAAUUGACUGAAAUAUUCCGUUAUGUCUUCCACCUUGGCACCGUUGACGCGGUUUAUGAGGCACGAGAAAAUGUUUAAGAACAGUUAUUCCUAAACAUUUCACUGUGCCUGAGUCUGAAAUAUUAAAACCCACGAGAGAAGCAAAUUUAUUAUUACUGUUGUAACCGUUGCGAGAAAGGUGAACAAGCAAGCAGGAGUCCUGACUAAUCUCAAAGCUUUUAAGGACGGAGUGAAGGUGGGAAGCAGCGCUCGGAGCUGGAUCCCCAAAGCCUGCUGUGGAUGAAACCUGCUGCCCUCACACAAGAGCUGUGGAGAUAAAGUUGCAUAAAUUUUAGCAAAAGAAGAUGAUGAUAUAAAACCUGCCUCCAAGGCAAGAGACAAAAUAACUCAAAACGGUAAAAACAUAAGUGGCCAGUGUUAAUCGAUAUUUCAGCAUGUUGUACGCCCAGGAACUUAACCCUCCUUAGAAUCGUAUGCAGAUACGCGUGGUUAAUAUGAAGUUGACGAACAUUCGUAAGGUAAUUAAUAGGUUUUAAACCCUUGGAAUC
rnacentral:lncRNA from 1 species